AAUAGGACUUUUCACUGUAGAAUUGUAACGUUGGGGAUUGUUACUUUUGUGCUGUAGGGGAAGAUCGCAGAAAACACUCAAGAGAAACAAAGAACAAGUUUAAAUGAAGUUUUCAGACACUCAUUUUGUUUUUCAAAAGAGGUUACACUCCUGUUAGAUAUUGUUUUAUGUUUUUUAUUUCUGAUCUCAAAUUUUUGUAUAGAAAAGACGAAAAGAUUAUUUCAAAUGUUUACUCAAACCAAAUAAUGCUUCAUUUACCAGUAAGAAUCAAACAUCUCCUUAGCAUUUUGAAUAUCAAAUAUCCAUGUCUCAUGAUCACCAACUUUUUUCAGGUUGGUGCCUAUCCAGUCUGACAGUGCCUUAGGGUAACCAAGUCCCAUCAGAUGACCCACAAGCCACCUGAAAAAAAGGUGUAGUGUACAUUUUAGUCCAACUACAAUAUAGAUUGGCACGAGAAAG
rnacentral:lncRNA from 1 species